rnacentral:rRNA from 1 species
CCGACGGGUGAGUAACACGUAUCCAACCUGCCGUCUACUCUUGACAGCCUUCUGAAAGGAAAGAAUUAAUACAAGAUGGCAUCAUGAGUCCGCAUGUUCACAUGAUUAAAGGUAUUCCGGUAGACGAUGGGGAUGCGUUCCAUUAGAUAGUAGGCGGGGUAACGGCCCACCUAGUCUUCGAUGGAUAGGGGUUCUGAGAGGAAGGUCCCCCACAUUGGAACUGAGACACGGUCCAA